UGAGUCACUGGCUCUAGGCAGAAAAUCCUUGUCUGGCCUCCCAGCUCCUUGUAGGAAGCUGAAAGAGAGAGAGAGAGAGAGAGAGAGAGAGAAAAGCAGUUUAGGGGGGAAGAAAGAGGACUUUCAUACAGAAACAGGGGUGUCUGUGAAAAGUUAACUGUGUGUGUGUGUGUCUGGGUGUCUGUCCUCAUCUGACUUAAGACUGUAUUUGCAUUAAGUUCUCCCUCUAUUGCAUUUUUAUUUCUGGUGUGGUUGCGCUUCCCCUCUUUCCUUUGAGUGCACUGGUUGGUGCGAAGGACAGGAAGAGAGUGCAGGAGAGGAGAGGGGGGCUUUGGGAAGGGAGGGGAGAGGAGGGGUUUCAGAUGAUCUUUUGAUCUUUUGGCUCGCAGCUCUGCGCUCCAACAGCCAUUCCUCCUGUCAGCAGUUUUGUUUGCGGGCGGGGUGAUUUUGUGCCGUUUGGAUCCGUUGGUGCAAGUGAUCCUCAUGAAAGCAGCCAUUACUUGAGAAAGGGAUUUUUUUUUUUUUUUUUUAAGGAGGGGAGCAGUGGAGGUUGGAGCUACUUCAGAUAUUUUAGCGUGUUGGUAAUCUUGGUGUAGAUGUGGUUUCAAAAACAAACAAACAAAAAAAAGAUGUGGAUUGAUUGAAUGUGAAUUGAAAUUUUUCCUUAUUCGUUUCAUCCACUCUUAACAAGUAGACUGAUGUGACUGUUACUUCAUUAGUAGUUCAGAUGUUAAGUUGGGUUCUUUUUUUUUUCUUUCUGGUACAACGGUCCUACCUCAACUGACACCAUGAUGAGAACAGUGGGAAACAGAUUUUUUUUUUUUAAACUGACACCCACUCAACCCACACAGAAACAGGGAGUUGACCAUCCCCACCCCGUACCCCCCACAAACACAACCCAACUGACCCCCCCCCCAAAUCCCCUCCGCUAUCCUGCAGAAUCAUGCGGUGAGCCAAACCUGCCCGUCAGGCCUGGGGUCUAAGGCACUGCCUGCCCUGUCUUGGUCAGCCGGCUGUGCUAGACUGCUCUGCUGUGUCCAGUGAUGGCCGGCCUGUUCAGAGGCCUGACGGGUGCCAUUGGAAAAGAAUGUGAACUUGCAGAUUUCUCUCUUUUCCAGAGAGAGAGAGAGGGGUCUCCCACUUAAGAGGGCAUCCAGUGCCUGUCAGUUUGAUGUCAAGCUGUGCCUGCAAAAACGUUCAUUUGUUUUGUUUUCUAUAUUUCUUUUUUUUCCCCUUUUUUUUGAGGAGUGAGCGAGAACCAUCCUGAAUACCUGAACCUCGGAAGGACGCCUAUGCCAGGAUUCCUUAGUCUCCAUGUUUCUCUAUUCAGUAAAUUAUUUAAAAAACGAAAUAAAUAAACAUUCGUUUGCCAACUACUUACUGUGGUCAAGUGGGACUAGAACACUUCUGUCUGCCACAGUGCUGGAAGAUUAUAUCUGAGAGGGAUAAGGUAUUAUUAUUAUUAUUAUUAUUAUUUUGUGUAAAUAUUUGAUGAGGUUGUUAAUUUACCCUGCAAAGUGGCCUUUACAGUGUGAUAUUUUAUACUUUCAAAAAAUAAAUGUGGUUAUAUUUGUUUGGCGUA